rnacentral:rRNA from 1 species
AGAGUUUGAUCCUGGCUCAGAAUGAACGUUGGCGGCGUGGAUUAGGCAUGCAAGUCGCGCGAGAAACCAAUUAGCUUGCUAUGAGGUGGACAGUGGCGAAAGGGAGAGUAACGCGUGGUUACGUGCCCUCGAGACCGGGAUAGUGUCGGGAAACUGGCAGUAAUACCGGAUAACAUCUUCGGAUCAAAUGGUGUGAUUCCGCUCGAGGAUCGGACCGCGUACUAUUAGCUUGUUGGCGGGGUAACGGCCCACCAAGGCUGCGAUGGUUACCGGGUGUGAGAGCAUGGCCCGGCUCACUGGGACUGAGACACUGCCCAGACAUCUACGGAUGGCUGCAGUCGAGAAUCUUCGGCAAUGGACGAAAGUCUGACCGAGCGACGCCGCGUGCGGGAUGAAGGCCCUCGGGUUGUAAACCGCUGUCAGUUAGGAGGAAAUCCAUGGGGGUUCUCCCUCAUGGUUGACCGAUUUUCAGAGGAAGGACGGGCUAAGUUCGUGCCAGCAGCCGCGGUAACACGAACCGUCCAAACGUUAUUCGGUAUCACUGGGCUUAAAGCGUGCGUAGGCGGCUUGGUAGGUGAGAUGUGAAAGCCCACGGCCCAACCGUGGAAUAGCGUCUCAAACCCUCAAGCUCGAGGAAGAUAGGGGUGAUGGGAACUUAUGGUGGAGCGGUGAAAUGCGUUGAUAUCAUAGGGAACACCGGUGGCGAAAGCGCAUCACUGGAUCUUUUCUGACGCUGAGGCACGAAAGCUAGGGUAGCGAACGGGAUUAGAUACCCCGGUAGUCCUAGCCGUAAACGAUGAGCACUGGGUUGAGGGAACUAUCACAUUCUCUCGGCCGUAGCGAAAGCGUUAAGUGCUCUGCCUGGGGAGUAUGGUCGCAAGGCAA